rnacentral:rRNA from 1 species
GACGAACGCUGGCGGCGUGCUUAACACAUGCAAGUCGAACGGAAAGGCCCUGCUUUUGUUGGGUGCUCGAGUGGCGAACGGGUGAGUAACACGUGAGUAACCUGCCCUUGACUUUGGGAUAACUUCAGGAAACUGGGGCUAAUACCGGAUAGGAGCUCCUGCUGCAUGGUGGGGGUUGGAAAGUUUCGGCGGUUGGGGAUGGACUCGCGGCUUAUCAGCUUGUUGGUGGGGUAGUGGAUUACCAAGGCUUUGACGGGUAGGCGGCCUGAGAGGGUGACCGGCCACAUGGGGACUGAGAGACGGCCCAGAAGCCUACGGGAGGCAGCAGUGGGGAAUAUUGCACAAUGGGCGGAAGCCUGAGGCAGCAACGCCGCGUGCGGGAUGACGGGCUUCGGGUGGUAAACAGCUUUCGCCUGUGACGAAGCGGGAGUGACGGUAAUGGGUAAAGAAGCACCGGCUAACUACGUG